rnacentral:misc_RNA from 1 species
CACCCAGUCGUAGCUGACUAGCCGUUCCUCGAGCGUCAUGCCUGACAACUUUUGCGGCUCUUGGAUCGUCACCGGGCUGGAACCCCUACAACAAAACCGAAGUUGCCUCGUAAAGUCACCCACUGUCGGUAGCGAGGGUAAAGAAUAACAGAGAGAUAAUUCAAUACGAGGAUAAUAGAGAACGGACACCAGACAAGUUUCUUCUCUCGUUCCCAGACCGCCGAGCGUAAUGGCUCCCCGAGACUCGGACGAGUACGUGCAUUCGGCGACCAAGUGAUCACCCUGUAAUAUAAAAGAAUCAUCUGACGUGUCACCAGACUAAACAGAAAAUUGGUAUAGUAAUGAGUAUAUGUCGAUCCUUUAUUGUAGACUGUAAAUUUUUAGUGUUCUUACUUUUCAAUUCAAUUCUGUUAUAAUACAUUUUUACUCUAUGUUAACACGUAAUCGCGUUUAAGCCCACCCUGUUCGAGCUCGUUCAAACAAUUAAACUCAGGUUCAUGCCCUGCAUCUGUAGCAUGUCGGCACUUUACGUGAUCAAAGCUAUACUUAUUGCACGUUAAUAAACUUUAUAACAAGCUCAUAAACUUUCUGAUACGUGCUACGGGUUAUAAUGCAGCUAGAAGUAUGUUCGCGGCAACUAAACGAAAGGCGUGCAACGUAGCGGAAACAGAAAAAUAAGAAUACAUUAAAGGACCGCUGUAGAAGACGCAAGUUACUUGCGAAGCGCUUAAGAAUACUCUUGGAUUAUUUUCGAAAAAAAAAAAAAA